rnacentral:rRNA from 1 species
UUAAGUUAUUAAGGGCGCACGGUGGAUGCCUUGGCACUAGAAGCCGAUGAAGGACGUUACUAACGACGAUAUGCUUUGGGGAGCUGUAAGUAAGCUUUGAUCCAGAGAUUUCCGAAUGGGGAAACCCAGCAUGAGUUAUGUCAUGUUAUCGAUAUGUGAAUACAUAGCAUAUCAGAAGGCACACCCGGAGAACUGAAACAUCUUAGUACCCGGAGGAAGAGAAAGAAAAUUCGAUUCCCUUAGUAGCGGCGAGCGAAACGGGAAGAGCCCAAACCAACAAGCUUGCUUGUUGGGGUUGUAGGACACUCUAUACGGAGUUACAAAGGACGACAUUAGACGAAUCAUCUGGAAAGAUGAAUCAAAGAAGGUAAUAAUCCUGUAGUCGAAAAUGUUGUCUCUCUUGAGUGGAUCCUGAGUACGACGGAGCACGUGAAAUUCCGUCGGAAUUUGGGAGGACCAUCUCCUAAGGCUAAAUACUCUCUAGUGACCGAUAGCGAACCAGUACCGUGAGGGAAAGGUGAAAAGCACCCCGGAAGGGGAGUGAAAUAGAACCUGAAACCGUGUGCUUACAAGUAGUCAGAGCCCGUUAAUGGGUGAUGGCGUGCCUUUUGUAGAAUGAACCGGCGAGUUACGAUUUGAUGCAAGGUUAAGCAGUAAAUGUGGAGCCGUAGCGAAAGCGAGUCUGAAUAGGGCGUUUAGUAUUUGGUCGUAGACCCGAAACCAGGUGAUCUACCCUUGGUCAGGUUGAAGUUCAGGUAACACUGAAUGGAGGACCGAACCGACUUACGUUGAAAAGUGAGCGGAUGAACUGAGGGUAGCGGAGAAAUUCCAAUCGAACCUGGAGAUAGCUGGUUCUCUCCGAAAUAGCUUUAGGGCUAGCCUCAAGUGAUGAUUAUUGGAGGUAGAGCACUGUUUGGACGAGGGGCCCCUCUCGGGUUACCGAAUUCAGACAAACUCCGAAUGCCAAUUAAUUUAACUUGGGAGUCAGAACAUGGGUGAUAAGGUCCGUGUUCGAAAGGGAAACAGCCCAGACCACCAGCUAAGGUCCCAAAAUAUAUGUUAAGUGGAAAAGGAUGUGGCGUUGCCCAGACAACUAGGAUGUUGGCUUAGAAGCAGCCAUCAUUUAAAGAGUGCGUAAUAGCUCACUAGUCGAGUGACACUGCGCCGAAAAUGUACCGGGGCUAAACAUAUUACCGAAGCUGUGGAUUGUCCUUUGGACAAUGGUAGGAGAGCGUUCUAAGGGCGUUGAAGCAUGAUCGUAAGGACAUGUGGAGCGCUUAGAAGUGAGAAUGCCGGUGUAAGUAGCGAAAGACGGGUGAGAAUCCCGUCCACCGAUUGACUAAGGUUUCCAGAGGAAGGCUCGUCCGCUCUGGGUUAGUCGGGUCCUAAGCUGAGGCCGACAGGCGUAGGCGAUGGAUAACAGGUUGAUAUUCCUGUACCACCUAUAAUCGUUUUAAUCGAUGGGGGGACGCAGUAGGAUAGGCGAAGCGUGCGAUUGGAUUGCACGUCUAAGCAGUAAGGCUGAGUAUUAGGCAAAUCCGGUACUCAUUAAGGCUGAGCUGUGAUGGGGAGAAGACAUUGUGUCUUCGAGUCGUUGAUUUCACACUGCCGAGAAAAGCCUCUAGAUAGAAAAUAGGUGCCCGUACCGCAAACCGACACAGGUAGUCAAGAUGAGAAUUCUAAGGUGAGCGAGCGAACUCUCGUUAAGGAACUCGGCAAAAUGACCCCGUAACUUCGGGAGAAGGGGUGCUCUUUAGGGUUAACGCCCAGAAGAGCCGCAGUGAAUAGGCCCAAGCGACUGUUUAUCAAAAACACAGGUCUCUGCUAAACCGUAAGGUGAUGUAUAGGGGCUGACGCCUGCCCGGUGCUGGAAGGUUAAGAGGAGUGGUUAGCUUCUGCGAAGCUACGAAUCGAAGCCCCAGUAAACGGCGGCCGUAACUAUAACGGUCCUAAGGUAGCGAAAUUCCUUGUCGGGUAAGUUCCGACCCGCACGAAAGGCGUAACGAUUUGGGCACUGUCUCAACGAGAGACUCGGUGAAAUCAUAGUACCUGUGAAGAUGCAGGUUACCCGCGACAGGACGGAAAGACCCCGUGGAGCUUUACUGUAGCCUGAUAUUGAAAUUCGGCACAGCUUGUACAGGAUAGGUAGGAGCCUUUGAAACGUGAGCGCUAGCUUACGUGGAGGCGCUGGUGGGAUACUACCCUAGCUGUGUUGGCUUUCUAACCCGCACCACUUAUCGUGGUGGGAGACAGUGUCAGGCGGGCAGUUUGACUGGGGCGGUCGCCUCCUAAAAGGUAACGGAGGCGCUCAAAGGUUCCCUCAGAAUGGUUGGAAAUCAUUCAUAGAGUGUAAAGGCAUAAGGGAGCUUGACUGCGAGACCUACAAGUCGAGCAGGGUCGAAAGACGGACUUAGUGAUCCGGUGGUUCCGCAUGGAAGGGCCAUCGCUCAACGGAUAAAAGCUACCCCGGGGAUAACAGGCUUAUCUCCCCCAAGAGUUCACAUCGACGGGGAGGUUUGGCACCUCGAUGUCGGCUCAUCGCAUCCUGGGGCUGUAGUCGGUCCCAAGGGUUGGGCUGUUCGCCCAUUAAAGCGGUACGCGAGCUGGGUUCAGAACGUCGUGAGACAGUUCGGUCCCUAUCCGUCGUGGGCGUAGGAAAUUUGAGAGGAGCUGUCCUUAGUACGAGAGGACCGGGAUGGACAUACCUCUGGUGUACCAGUUGUCGUGCCAACGGCAUAGCUGGGUAGCUAUGUGUGGACGGGAUAAGUGCUGAAAGCAUCUAAGCAUGAAGCCCCCCUCAAGAUGAGAUUUCCCAACUUCGGUUAUAAGAUCCCUCAAAGAUGAUGAGGUUAAUAGGUUCGAGGUGGAAGCAUGGUGACAUGUGGAGCUGACGAAUACUAAUCGAUCGAAGACUUAAUCAA